rnacentral:rRNA from 1 species
UGGGGAAUAUUGCGCAAUGGGCGAAAGCCUGACGCAGCGACGCCGCGUGCGGGAUGAAGGCCUUCGGGUUGUAAACCGCUUUUGGAGGCAAAAAAGCGAGAGCGAUGGUAACCUCCGAAUAAGGACCGGCUAACUACGUGCCAGCAGCCGCGGUAAUACGUAGGGUUCAAGUGUUGUCCGGAAUUAUUGGGCGUAAAGGGCUUGUAGGCGGCCGGUCGCGUCUGGUGUGAAAUUCCGCCGCCCAACGGCGGAACUGCGCUGGAUACGGGCCGGCUAGAGUGCGGCAGGGGGGACUGGAAUUCCUGGUGUAACGGUGGAAUGUGUAGAUAUCAGGAAGAACACCAAUGGCGAAGGCAGGUCCCUGGGCCGCAACUGACGCUGAGGAGCGAAAGCGUGGGGAGCAAACAGG